CAGUAGCCGCGGUAAUACCAGCAGCCCAAGUGGUGGUCGCGUUUAUUGGGCCUAAAGCGCUCGUAGCCUGGCCGGUAAGUUCCCCGUGAAAUCGGGUCGCCCAACGAUUCGGCUUGCGGGGAAUACUGUCGGUCUUGGGGCCGGGAGACGCCGAGGGUACUCCGGGGGUAGCGGUGAAAUGCUGUAAUCCUCGGGGGACUACCAGUGGCGAAGGCGCUCGGCGAUAACGGGCCUGACGGUGAGGGGCGAAAGCUGGGGGCGCGAACGGGAUUAGAGACCCCCGUAGUCCCUGUCUCUUAUU
rnacentral:rRNA from 1 species